rnacentral:rRNA from 1 species
AUUGAACGCUGGCGGCAGGCCUAAUACAUGCAAGUCGAGCGGAGCGGCGGACGGGUGAGUAAUGCCUAUGAAUCUGCCCGGUAGUUGGCGAUAACGUCCGGAAACGGGCGCCAAUACCGCAUACUAUCCGAUGAGCCUAGGUCGGAUUUGCUAGUUGGUGGGGUAAAGGCCUACCAAGGCGACGAGCCGUAACUGGUCUGAGAGGAUGAUCAGUCACACGGGGACUGGGACACGGACCAGAAUCCUACGGGAGGCAGCAGUGGAGAAUAUUGCACAAUGGGCGCAAGCCUGAUGCAGCCAUGGCGCGUGAGUGAAGAAGGCCUACGGGUUGUAGAGCACUAUCAGCGGAGAAGCGUUACCCGCAGAAGAAGCACCGGCUAACUCCGUGCCAGCAGCCGCGGUAAUUC